rnacentral:rRNA from 1 species
AUUGAACGCUGGCGGCAGGCCUAACACAUGCAAGUCGAGCGAGCGGCGGACGGGUGAGUAAUGUCUGGGAAACUGCCUGAUGGAGGGGGAUAAAUACUGGAAAAGGUAGCUAAUACCGCAUACCAUCAGAUGUGCCCAGAGGGGAUUAGCUAGUCGGGGGGGGAACGGCUCACCUAGGCGACGAUCCCUAGAUGGGCUGAGAGGAUGACCCGCCACACUGGAACGGAGACACGGUCCAGACUCCUACGGGAGGCAGCAGUGGGGAAUAUUGCACAAUGGGCGCAAGCCUGAUGCAGCCAUGCCGCGUGUGUGAAGAAGGCCUUCGGGUUGUAAAGCACUUUCAGCGGGGAGGCGUUACCCGCAGAAGAAGCACCGGCUAACUCCGUGCCAGCAGCCGCGGUAAUUC